rnacentral:rRNA from 1 species
GAUGAACGCUAGCUACAGGCUUAACACAUGCAAGUCGAGGGGCAGCAUGUUGGUUGCUUGCAACCGAUGAUGGCGACCGGCGCACGGGUGAGUAACGCGUAUCCAACCUUCCCUUAACUUGGGAAUAGCCCGGUGAAAACCGGAUUAAUGCCCGAUGUGGUCCAGCGAGGGCAUCUGACCCGGACCAAAGAUUUUGUCGGUUAAGGAUGGGGAUGCGUCUGAUUAGCUUGUUGGCGGGGUAACGGCCCACCAAAGCGACGAUCAGUAGCCGGCCUGAGAGGGUGAACGGCCACAUUGGGACUGAGACACGGCCCAAACUCC